rnacentral:rRNA from 1 species
UAGGGAAUUUUCGGCAAUGGGGGGAACCCUGACCGAGCAACGCCGCGUGAACGAGGAAGGCCUUCGGGUCGUAAAGUUCUGUUGCGAAGGAAGAACGCCGGAGGGAGGAAAUGGCCUCCGGGUGACGGUACUUCGCGAGAAAGCCACGGCUAACUACGUGCCAGCAGCCGCGGUAAUACGUAGGUGGCGAGCGUUAUCCGGAAUCAUUGGGCGUAAAGAGGGAGCAGGCGGCCGUGAGGGUCUGUGGUAAAAGACUGAAGCUCAACUUCAGUGAGCCAUGGAAACCGGACGGCUGGAGUGCGGCAGAGGAUCGUGGAAUUCCAUGUGUAGCGGUGAAAUGCGUAGAUAUAUGGAGGAACACCAGUGGCGAAGGCGACGGUCUGGGCCUGCACUGACGCUCAUUCCCGAAAGCGUGGGGAGCAAAUAGGAUUAGAUACCCUGGUAGU